rnacentral:siRNA from 1 species
GCGGAUCUCGCCUUAUUUACGUC